UACAGAGGUCUCAAGCGUUGUUCGGAUUCAUUGGGCGUAAAGGGUGUGUAGGUGGCGCGCUAAGUCGGGUGUGAAAUUUCGGAGCUUAACUCCGAACUGCAUUCGAUACUGGCGUGCUUGAGGACUGGAGAGGAGACUGGAAUUUACGGUGUAGCGGUGAAAUGCGUAGAUAUCGUAAGGAAGACCAGUGGCGAAGGCGGGUCUCUGGACAGUUCCUGACGCUGAGGCACGAAGGCCAGGGGAGCAAACGGG
rnacentral:rRNA from 1 species